UGCUUUGUGCACGGGGUUUAGGAGAAAUCGUCUGCUUUCAGUUUGUCUUACCGGACAAACGAGCAAGUAGUAAACUGCAAGCAGGCUUCAGCGUAUUGAUGUUUUCGGAUAUAGUACAGCUUAUUAUAACCGCUAUAGUAAAACUAUGUCGUCGAACAAAUCGUGAACGGAUGCAUUUGAGUGUUUAAACCAUAGAUGUAUGUGAUUUACACAGCUUUUUUUUCCGGAUGUUUAUUCACAAAGUGUUUUAUUUAUAUUUUUUACUGUUCUUUAUGCUUUUUAACUACCAUUAAACGGAACUCGGCGCUGCUUUAAGAGAAAAAUACAUUCAAUUAUUUCUCUUAAAAGUUCUACGAUGGAGUUUACAGAUGAGGAGAAAAUAUGGCUGCAACAAGUGUCUGCAGAAAUACCUGAAGGAAAUGAGCUUACUCCAAAGGAGAAGAAAUUACAGGAGAAAGCAAAGCCAGACACUGAAAUUCAGGCCCAGCUCUUCCAAACUAUGGCCUCCAUACGAUUUGGAUUGAAUAAUCGAAUAACCUCAACAACAGAGGUGAAAAACUCCGUCCAGCAGAGGAGCAGCGUCUCGUCACAAUGUGGAUAAACAUCAAAUACCAUAAAGACAUGGCAUUUACUUUUUCUUCUUGGUUAUAUAGGUUAUCUGUGAAUGAACUAACCAGAAGCAAAAUGUUCUGUACAGUGAUGUCAAGUGACUUUGGUUCAUCUUUUUCAUGUUCUCACCAGGGUAUUUUGAUGAUUUCUUGGUGUAUGUCAGGUUCAGUUCAUAGCUAGUAAGUACACCAGAGAAUGUAGCGUCAUUGAGUUUUAGUGACCUUAGCUCAUGAUUGUUUCCUCAGCUAUAUAUAAACAGGGGCCUGUUUCAUAAAACGCUUUUACUAAAUAAGCCAGGUUUAUUUCAGGUAGUUUGCCUGCUCUUUUUAUUGUUGCACGAUCUAUGAAAUCAGAAAACAAACCAAGUUGUUAUAGUUUUUUGUUAUUGGUGCUUUUAUCACAAUGUACAUUAAUGCGUUUGAAAUAUUUGCCAUACAAAGUUAUCUAAAAACUCAGUAUGUUUUUGUUUAUCAUGUUUGCUGGGAUGAUAACAUCUCUACCUCAAAUACAGUAACAAACAGUACAAAAAUAUUUUUUGCACACACAUAAUAAAUCAAAUCAUAUGGAACAAUUCAGGAGUUGUAAUUUUCAGAUGUUUUAACACUGUUUAUUUAUAUGAUUAAUAUGAUUCUGUAAAUGGUUUAUAAAAUGCAUUCCACUCCGUUUCCAGUUUUAGCCUAAGCUUUUGAGAGACUUUUACUUUAUUUUAAAAUGAAUAAAAAUGAUCAUGAAUAAACAAAGUGUACUGUUAUUUAUUUUUAUACAAUAUUUCGUAAAAUCAAAGUAUGUUUUCUGCUGUUUGUGUUCAGAAAAUGUCACUUGUUGCUAUUACUCUGACAUCCACAAGGUGGUGUUACUCUGCAAGAUGAAAGACAGCAGACCAAGUCAUAGAGACGGAGACAGCCUGAAGUCUAAUCUUCUCUUCAGUUGACCCCUGGCCCCAAGUGAUAUAUAGCAGAAAGCCGGCCAAACAUUCAAAA